GGAAGGGUGACAGAGUGGUUUAAUGUGUUUGUUUUGAAAACAAAUCUAUUCAUGGGUUCGAAUCCCAUUCCUUCCU
rnacentral:tRNA from 2 species